AUGGGGUUUGCUGUGUGGCUGUGCGCGCUGUGCCUGCACGCGAGCCUGCUGCCGCACGCCCUCGGCUGCUCGGGAGUGACGCAGGGGGAGCCGUGUGUCAGCGGGGCGACCGCAGACGGACAGUACGACGACCAGAAGCAGCAGAUGGCGCCACCCUUAACUGAAGGACGGGUCCUGUUCAGACGCAGGCGGCAGCUGGAUCGCAGGGGUCCCGCCCACCCGGGCCACGCCAACGUGCCCGGGGCCGUGUCCGUCAAAGGCUUCCCCAACGCUCUGAUCCAGGCUGACAGGUCCAGGCGUCAAGCUGCAAAUAGGAAACGGAACGUGAUCCGGAACAUACCUCGCGUCGGCUCCUACUCUCUCCUUAACCAUGACAAGAAAUCCAACCCCCUACAGGUAACCAGAGCGAAAAGACAGGUGAAGGCAAUGCCCCCCAAGAGGGACAGCUCGAGUCGCUCCGGCGCCUUCUCCGUCCUGGGAGACCCACUGAACGACGGAAGAACGGACCCCAAAAAAGCCUAUUGAAGACGUGUGCUAUGGAACUUAGAUGCUCCUUCUCUUUGUAGAACAGGUAGUGUGCAGAGUGAGAUGUGUCCACAUUUUACUUACAAACAUGGAACAUGGAAACAAACUUAGGUUUGGUGUAAAAAUUUGCUUUAUAGUUCACACGGGUGUCCAGCAUUAAUAAGACAGCUUAUCAGCCAGUAUGCACUUAUGGAUACGUUUAUAUACUAUUUUAAGUUUAUAAUAUAUUCCUGCAUGUUAUUACACCACAAAUGAUCUCCUAUUAAUAUUGUAUUUUGCCACUUUGAUGUAACCUAUUUAAUCAGAUUCCUUCUGAGAACUGGGGGUAUAUUUUUGCAGAAAUAUUUCUGGUGUUAUUGUUUCAGAUUUCAAUAAAAAAGUUACUACAGACA
rnacentral:lncRNA from 1 species